UUCAAACACUUUCCAAAACUUGGCUUGCUUACUCUAGCUUCCACUCGGGUCUUUGGUCCAGACCUGGGAUGGCAUCAUGUGCCAAUUCCUGUAGCAGAACCAUCUUCUGCUGAUACAGGAUAACAACUCUUUGGUAGUUUCUGGCCUUCUAGAGUUGCCUGGAACCUUGGGAGGGAUGCAGGAGAAAGGUCAGUGAACCUGGAGUCUGAUGUUUUUCCUAUGUCGCUUUUCUUUUGAGAAUGCCCAAACACUUGGCCUAAAUUUGGAAGGGUUUUGCCAUUCCUUUGCCCCAUAAGUUUCUUCUGGCCCCUUCUAGUCCACAAUGCUGGAUUCUUUCUGUGCUUAAGAAUUUCCACUACUAAAUCAGUGUCCAGGCUCUUUUCAGUGACGGUGACUACAAUCCCUCUCCACCACAGUGGUUAGUUUCAAGAGUUGGUGUGGCCAAAAACAAUUAGUCAUCUGGCAGACCGCCUUCUGGGCUAUGUAUCUCCAAACUCAGCUCAGCAGAUCUUUGGGAGAUGAUCUCACUGCCAGGACCGUGCUGAAAGCCCUUUGAGAUGGAAGACUCAAGGCAUCUGGUCAGAUGAUGCUGUUUUGCUAGCCUUCAAGAGUGAGGACUCACUUCUGCAUCCCAAGAGGUACUGGAGAAGGACCUGAGUGCAGGUAUAAGCUGCAAUAUGAGUGACAAAUUGAGCAGAAAAGGUCUUCGCUCUAGGUCUGUUUCCUCAUCUGCCCACUGAGAGAGUAAGCUGCAAGGGGGGCCAAUCACAAGGCCAGGCUGCUUCACAUACUAUCUUAGUCUUGUUUCUUAUGGUUCUCUUGGGUGCCAUCUGCACUCUGACUGGAUGGACCAGGCAGCACCCUGUGCUCGUUCACUGGCCUUGGUCCUCCAUCCUCCUAUCUGCCCUGGGCCAGGAAUGCCAUCUCUUCUCACCUCUGCUUGCUGAAUCCCUACCUGUUCUCCAAAAGUACAAAUGCCACAUCCUGGAAGCCUACCCCGAUGGCCUCACUCUCUCUCCUCCCUCCUCUUUGGUAAAGACCUGAAGACCUCAAAGAUCAUUUGUAGCCUUCAACUACACUAAGCAGAUUUCCCAAGAAUAAAACCCUGGGGUGGAGGCAGUGAGCCCUAUUGAGAAGCUGACCCUUUGAAUUCAGAACUGAACCCCAUCUGGAGUAUGAAACUGAGGGAGGAGGGAGAAGUGACUUACCUGGAGUCACCAAAGGGUCCCUGUGGCAUAUUUGGAUGGGGGCUUCUGCCUGCCAGGCCAGUGAGCCGACCAGCCCCUGAACUGCCUGCUUUGGGGUGAGCACUAGAGCAAGAGGGCCUUCCACAGCCCUCACCCCGGUCCAGAAGAGCAACUGUACUAAAAUUUCAUUGUGGGCAUUCAUUUGUUUUAAAAUAAAAUUUGGAGACACUGUUUGCUUUGA